rnacentral:rRNA from 1 species
UACGUAGGGGGCAAGCGUUGUCCGGAUUUAUUGGGCGUAAAGAGCGUGUAGGCGGCCAUACAGGUCCGUUGUGAAAACUGGAGGCUUAACCUCCAGACGUCGAUGGAAACCGUAUGGCUAGAGUCCGGAAGAGGAGAGUGGAAUUCCUGGUGUAGCGGUGAAAUGCGUAGAUAUCUGGAGGAACACCGGUGGCGAAGGCGACAUCCUGGACCGGUAUUGACGCUGAGGAGCGAAAGCGUGGGGAGCGAACAGG